AGGCGGAAGAGAACGAGGACCCUAAAAAACUAAUCCGCAGUUUCCCAUAACAAAAAAAUGAACCCUCCCUUUAAAGUCCAUCGUCUUCUUCAGCAGAUGCCUGAAAUGAGUUGAAAUACACAAGAUACACAUGAGACCAAAUAUAGAUUCUAAGACCUAAAAAUUAGAGGCUACAACCAAGAAGACCGAAAAAGCUUCUUCAGUGCUUCCUCUAGAGAUAAGGCUGUCGUGAACUUAGAGUUGUAACGCAACAAACUUGCUGCGAAAUAGACCCAGAAACGACCCUGAAGCAGUAGCUAAAUCGCUGCUAAUUCCAUCACGACACAGUACCAAAAUAUUACCAAAAUUCCAGCUGAACAAUCCUCGAAACACAAGCUUUAAGUCGAGUUCGAGGUUGCGGACGAGGUCAAGUUUCCGGCGAGUUCUCUAUUCGCUUCGACCUUUGUAUUCAAGAACCUUUUCCAUAUAAAAAAGGUGCACGCCUAGAAAUUCCUUGAGAACUGGUGAACUAUUUAAAGAUCUCUCAGAUCCCGAGAAAGCAUUUAGUACAUUGAAUCGGGCUAAGAAGAAGGGUAAACAGCUAAACAGAAUGAACAAAUCAAAAAUUAAAAUGGGUGACGUCGAGAACAUCAAUGGGAACAAUAUAAAUAAUCAAGUUGACACAAACAUCAGAGUGGUAGCACCCCUAGUGCCGGAGGCUGUUCUAUAUGAUUGGGCACAACCAACUACUGACAAUAUGGCAACUGCAAUUGCAGUCCCUCUGAUACAAGAUGAGACUUUUCAAAUUACAAACAACAUGUUGCACUUGCUGCAAAACAAAGGGUUGUUCUUCGGGUUUUACAUCGAAGACCUACAUCAACAUCUCAAGAAUUUCCUGUCAAUUUGUGUCACUCAAAGACAACCGAAUAUGACACCCGAAGCAAUCAGAUUGUUUAUUGUUUCCAUUCUCAGUGCCUGGGGAGGCUCAAAUGUGGAUGAAUUUGCUCCCAAUAAUAUCUAUUGCUACAUGGGAGGAACUAGUCAAGCACUUCUUAAACAAGUUUUAUCCACCUAAUAAGACAGCAAGGCGAAUUGAUGUGAUAUUGCAGUUCAUGCAGAAACUAACUGAAACUUUGCAAGAAACUUGGGAAUAGUUUAAGGACAUAUUGGCAAAGUGUCCACACCAUGUCAUCUCGGAUCAGAUGCUAGGACAGAGAUUCUAUAUAUGUUAGGCUGACAGCUUGAAGGCCAAUGUAGAUACUUCAGCCGAGGGUGCAUUCUUGAGCAAAUUAUUCAUUGAGUGUAAGAUUCUUCUUGACAAGAUGGCUUAAAAUCCAAGCUGGAUGAUGAAUACAACACUCACUUUAAUAGUGCAUUUUGUUUCUCUUGACCCAAAAAAUACAAAUGCAGAAAACAUAGCCACUCUCAUGACCCAGAUGAGCUUGUUGACAAAGAAAUUUGAUGCGAUGGGCACGAAACAAGUUCAUAUUAUUGACACAACAAAUGGAGACCUAUGCACUCCCUGCAUAAAUCAAUCGUAUGUUUGCUCAUGGAGUGGAGAGUAACUAGGGCUUCAGAGAAGUCAUGAAUUUUAUAAAUAAUUUUGGGGGUUAAAAGCAUGGUGGACAGUAAUGGGGACCUUAAAAUCAGCAGUACAGACUAACCCAACAACAGUACAAUAGCAAUCCUGGGGGAGAACGACCACAAGUCCAAGUUGUGCCCUAUCAAAGGAAGCAGGGUUACAAUCAACAACCCCAAUAACAGUUGGCUUACCAACAGCCUCAUCAACAGUAGGUGACCAGACAAGACGACAGCUAUAUAAUAGAAAUCAAGGGCAUGCUGCAACAAAUCAUUGGGACAAAUAGAAGGAUGCAAGAAAAGUUAGUCGCACAUGAUUCGACUAUUAAAGGUGUUGAAACUUAGUUAGGCAUGUUGUCCAUGGAUUUAAAUAAUCGCCCACAAGAAACGUUGCCUGCAGACACAAACAUUAAUCCAAAAGAGCAGAACCUGAAUCUGUUAAUGGUAGUGAGUCUUAAGAAUGGAAGGGAUUUGGACAGAAAGCAAGAAUUUGCUAAAUCUAAUAAAUACAUAGAGCCACUUACUCCAGUGCCAUUCGACAUCGAUGAGUCGACGGAGCUCAAAGAGGUUGUAAUUGAACAAGCGCAAGUUGACAAAGGCAAAGAGAAGAAAAUUGAACAACUCCAGAAUAGGUAGUGGAAAAGACACAAAGUCAUGGGCAAAAGCUAAUUCCAUCACCAUUCCCUCAAAGUUUGGCAAAGCAAAAGAAAGAUGAUCAAUAUAGGAAAUUCAUGGAAAUGCUUUAACAAAUUCAAUUAAAUAUUCCACUGAUGGAUACUUUGAGGGAAAUGCCAGGCUAUGCGAAAAUGAUGAAGGAUUUGAUAUCUUAAUAGUUUGAAUUCCAGGACCUAUCUACUGUAACUCUGGCACAAACUUGUAUUGUGGUAGUGACAAGACCUAUGACUCAAAAUGUGUUUAAUCCCGAUAGUUUCACUAUCCCAUGUACAAUUGGAAGUUAUGCUUUUACUAAAGCAUUUUGCGACUUGGGAGCCAGUAUUAACUUGAUGCCCUUAGCAAUCUACACAAAGUUAGCCAUUGGCAGAGCUAGGCCAACCUCAAUGUUGUUGUAACUGGCUAAUCGCACAGUGAAAAGGCCAACAUGAAUCCUGGAUGAUGUGAUCGUCCAAGUGGGGAAGUUUGUAUUUCCUGCUGAUUUUGUGAUUCUUGAUUUCUAGGUUGACGAAGAAAUACUCAUAAUUUUGGGAAGGCCGUUUUUAGCCACUAGAAGAGCAUUGGUUAAUUGUGAGACUAGAGAGUUGAAAAUGAGGUUGAAUAAAGAAGAAAUAAUAUUCAAUGUUCAACAGUUUAUGAGGAGGCCCAAUAAAUUUGCAAAUUGUUCGCUAGUGGAGGCCGUUGAUGUGAUACUACAAGAGGUGGAUGAGACUCUUAAUGUUAGAGACCCAUCAAAAAAUUGUUUGAUAAAUUUGAACGAAGUGGAUAAUGAAAAUUUUGCAAAGUGGAUCAUGGCUCUCAAAAGGCAAGGGUUCUGGAAAAGGAAACCUCAAUUUGAGCUACUAUACUUAGAAGAAA